rnacentral:rRNA from 1 species
AGUGAACGCUGGCGGUAGGCCUAACACAUGCAAGUCGAACGGUAGCACAGUAAGAGCUUGCUCUUACUGGUGGCGAGUGGCGGACGGGAGGGGAAUACAUCGGAAUCUACUUUUUCGGGGGGGAUAACGUAGUUAAACUGACGCCAAUACCGCAUACGACCUACGGGUGAAAGCAGGGGAUCUUCGUACCUUGGGCGAUUGAUUGAGCCGAUUUCGGAUUGGCUAGUUGCCGGGGUAAGGGCCCCCCAAGCCGGGGAUCCGUAUCUGGUCUGCGAGGAUGAUCAGCCACCCUGGAACUGGGACACGGGCCAGACACCUAAGGGAGGCAGCGGUGGGAAUAUUGCACAAUGGGCGCAAACCUGAUCCAGCCAUACCGCGUGAGUGAAGAAGGCCUUCGGGUUGUAAAGCCCUUUUGUUGGGAAAGAAAAGCAGCAGGUUAAUACCCCGCUGUUCUGACGGUACCCAAAGAAUAAGCACCGGCUAACUUCGUG